rnacentral:tRNA from 1 species
GAGGUUUUAGUAAAAUAUUAUAUAACNUUGUCAAAGUUAAGUUACAGGUGAAANCCCCGUAUGNCUCA